rnacentral:rRNA from 1 species
CCGUAAACGAUGAGUGCUAGAUGUAGGGAGCUAUAAGUUCUCUGUAUCGCAGCUAACGCAAUAAGCACUCCGCUGGGGAGUACGACCGCAAGGUUGAAACUCAAAGGAAUUGACGGGGGCCCGCACAAGCGGUGGAGCAUGUGGUUUAAUUCGAAGCAACGCGAAGAACCUUACCAGGUCUUGACAUACUCGUCUAUUCCUAGAGAUAGGAAGUUCCUUCGGGAACGGGAUACAGGUGGUGCAUGGUUGUCGUCAGCUCGUGUCGUGAGAUGUUGGGUUAAGUUCCGCAACGAGCGCAACCCCUAUUGUUAGUUGCCAUCAUUAAGUUGGGCACUCUAACGAGACUGCCGGUGAUAAACCGGAGGAAGGUGGGGAUGACGUCAAAUCAUCAUGCCCCUUAUGACCUGGGCUACACACGUGCUACAAUGGAUGGUACAACGAGUCGCGAGACAGUGAUGUUUAGCUAAUCUCUUAAAACCAUUCUCAGUUCGGAUUGUAGGCUGCAACUCGCCUACAUGAAGUCGGAAUCGCUAGUAAUCGCGGAUCAGCACGCCGCGGUGAAUACGUUCCCGGGCCUUGUACACACCGCCCGUCACACCACGGGAGUUGGGAGUACCCGAAGUAGGUUGCCUAACCGCAAGGAGGGCGCUUCCUAAGGUAAGACCGAUGACUGGGGUGAAGUCGUAACAAGGUAACCAAGGGCGAAUUCUG